GGUGAGGUGUCCGAGUGGCCGAAGGAGCACGCUUGGAAAGCGUGUAAGGCGUAAGCCUUCGUGGGUUCGAAUCCCACCCUCACCGCCA
rnacentral:tRNA from 1 species